rnacentral:rRNA from 1 species
CACAGAGGUGGCAAGCGUUGUUCGGAAUUAUUGGGCGUAAAGAGCACGUAGGCGGUUCUGCAAGUCGGCUGUGAAAGCCUUCCGCUCAACGGGAGGACAGCAGUUGAUACUACAGGACUGGAGUGCGGGAGGGGAGAGUGGAACUUCUGGUGGAGCGGUGAAAUGCGUAGAUAUCAGAAGGAAUGUUGGCGGCGAAAGCGACUCUUUGGCUCGUAACUGACGCUGAGUGUGCGAAAGCUAGGGGAGCAAACGGG